GUGGGGAAUAUUGGUCAAUGGGGGAAACCCUGAACCAGCAACGCCGCGUGAAGGAAGAAGGCUUUCGGGUUGUAAACUUCUUUGACAGGGGACGAAAGCAAUGACGGUACCCUGAAAACAAGCCACGGCUAACUACGUGCCAGCAGCCGCGGUAAUACGUAGGUGGCGAGCGUUGUCCGGAUUUACUGGGUGUAAAGGGCGUGUAGGCGGGGCGGUAAGUCAGAUGUGAAAUGUAGGGGCUCAACCCCUGAAUUGCAUUUGAAACUAUCGUUCUUGAGUGAUGGAGAGGCAGGCGGAAUUCCGUGUGUAGCGGUGAAAUGCGUAGAUAUACGGAGGAACACCAGUGGCGAAGGCGGCCUGCUGGACAUUAACUGACGCUGAGGCGCGAAAGCGUGGGGAGCAAACAGGAUUAGAAACCCCUGUAGUCC
rnacentral:rRNA from 1 species